AUGAAUAGUGUGGGGGGGUGGGGAAGUCAGUGUUUAAAUUUUAUUAUAAAGAUCCCACUCUACCAUUAGAAUGGGGCAUAAGACAAAUUAAAGAAGAAUGCCAAAUGCUGAACCUAGAUUUUGUUUGAGACACAUGUAUGAAAAUUUCAAAGUGAAAUUUAAAUCUGUUGAACUGAAAGAAUACUUUCGGAAGGCAGCCUCAACUGCAAACAGAAGGGAAUUUGAGGGUUUUAUGAAAAAAAUUGAAAAACUUGAUCCAAAAAUAAAAGUUGAUGUGGAAACAGUUUCUGAAUGGCUAAGAAAGAUAAAUCCACAACAUUGGGGAAGAUCACAUUUUCCAGUUCAUAGCAAAUAUGAUAUUUUGGUGAAUAACUUAUGUGAAAGCUUUAAUAAUUAUAUACUUGAGGCAAGGGCCAAAUCAAUUAUAUGUAUGUUUGAGUGGACUAGAACAAAAUUGAUGUCUAGGUUGCAACUGAAAAGAGGGGGAAUGGAGAAGCAUGGAGGAUCAAUUUGCCCUAACAUCCUAAAGAAGAUAAACAAGCAACAACAUGCUGCAAGAAAUUGUUUCAUUAGGUGGUAUGGUGGGGGAGAAUAUGAAAUUGACCACUUCUUGAACAAGUAUGUGGUUGACUUAGAGAAGAAACAUGCAGUUGUGGCAUGUUUCAAUUGACAGGAUACCCAUGUUGUCAUACUUGUUCAGCAAUUGUUUCAGAAAGGGCUAGAGUAGAUAUUUAUGUGGAUGAUUUUUAUAAGCAGACAGUUUACCUCAAAGUGUAUAAUGACAUGAUACAUGUUGUCCCUGGGUCACAAGAUUAUAUAAAAACCAGUUUUCAGCCCUUUAAACCUCCUAAGAUUAAAAAGAAAAGGGGUAGACCUAAGAAACUGAGGAGAAAGGGCCCUAAUGAGCUGCAGUCAAAUACAUCAACAUGAAAAGGAUUGACGCAUACUUGCAGUAAAUGCCUUCAAAUAGGCCACAAUAAGGACAGCUGCAAGAAUGAAAUACAUCCAGAGUCGAAGUUUUUCAAGGCAAAUGCUGCUGUUUCAGAAGAAAUCCCACAUGGAUCUCAAACCCCCCCCCCCCUUUAAGCCAGGAGCAACCAAGUAAAAAGGCUACAUCAAAAGGCAAGAGAAAGAGCAGCAAUGUAGUACAACCACAUGCACUUGCACCAGACUUUGCAACCCAGCAGCAGGUAGGCUAUCAAGGCCCUAGAAAUGCAUCCUUGUUGGGGAAUGAUAUUCCAACAGCUUCUUCAAUACCUGCAACUAGGAGAUACAACAAGAGGCCAACUAUUUCAAAAGUUUUGGACAAGAUGAAAGAGAGACAAAAGAGAAGACAACAAGAGUAAUUUAGACUGCAUUUUCAUCUUGUAAAUGACCUUUUUUUGGGUAAAUGGCCUGUUCCUUUUGUAAAUUUGAAAAAAAUUGUCUAUAAUAUGGCACUCAGUUCCUUUUGUAAUG